AUUGAACGCUGGCGGAAUGCUUUACACAUGCAAGUCGAACGGUAGAGGGGGCAACCCCUCGAGAGUGGCGAACGGGUGAGUAAUAUAUCGGAACGUGCCCAGUCGUGGGGGAUAACGUAGCGAAAGUUACGCUAAUACCGCAUACGAUCUACGGAUGAAAGCGGGGGAUCGCAAGACCUCGCGCGAUUGGAGCGGCCGAUAUCAGAUUAGGUAGUUGGUGGGGUAAAGGCUCACCAAGCCAACGAUCGGUAGCUGGUCUGAGAGGACGACCAGCCACACUGGAACUGAGAAUCGGUCCAGACUCCUACGGGAGGCAGCAGUGGGGAAUUUUGGACAAUGGUCGCAAGUCUGAUCCAGCCAUUCCGCGUGCAGGAUGAAGGCCCUCGGGUUGUAAACUGCUUUUGUACGGAACGAAAAGGUUUCCAUUAAUACUGGGAGCUCAUGACGGUACCGUAAGAAUAAGCACCGGCUAACUACGUGCCAGCCGCCGCAGUAA
rnacentral:rRNA from 1 species